GGCGAAGGCGAACGAAACCCCCCCUUCCCUUCCCCUCCCCUCCCCUCCCGUUCCCGUACAGUUCAUCAAAGAAAUCUGAAAACCAACCAACCGACCCAACCAAAAUACCCUCGCCGCCUCGCCCCUGUCCCGUCCCUUCUUGUCGCGCGGUCGCCUCAAUCUCGAAGCCUCCAACGCCGCCGCUCAUUCCCGAAGCCUCCAGCCAAAAAUCCUAGGGUUCUCGCAUCGUCCGUCGCCAUGGGCUCGAAGAAGCGGUCGCCCCAGCGUCCCGCCUCCCCAGCCGGCGGCGAGGUCGCCGGCGAUGUCGGCGCCCCACUGGCGGGUAAGGCCCCACCGGCGGCGGCCCCGGUGGGGGUGGUGCCGAAGCCUCCGGACGUGGCGCCGUUCCUGACCAAGGUCUACGACAUGGUCUCCGACCCGGCGACCGACGCGGUCAUCUCCUGGGCGGCUGGCGGCGGCAGCUUCGUGAUCUGGGACUCGCACGCCUUUGAGCGGGACCUGCUGCCGCGGCACUUCAAGCACAACCACUUCACCAGCUUCAUACGCCAGCUCAACACCUAUGGAUUUCAUAAAGUUGAUCCUGAUAGAUGGGAAUGGGCCAAUGAAGGUUUUGUUAAGGACCAAAAACAUCUUCUGAAGACCAUCAAGAGAAAGAAGAAAUCUGCUCAGGAUGCGACUAGUGAUCUGCAGCCGGCACCUGUCAAAACUGCACCUGGCACUGAAAAUAUCGAAAUUGGAAAAUAUGGAGGUCUUGAAAAGGAGGUUGAAACCCUUAAGAGGGACAAAGCCCUUCUAAUGCAGCAGCUAGUAGAUCUCAGGCAGUACCAGCAAUCAUCUAGCCUUGAAGUGCAGAAUUUAAUUCAACGCCUACAUGUGAUGGAACAAAACCAGCAGCAGAUGAUGGCACUUUUGGCAAUAGUUGUCCAGAAUCCAAAUUUCCUCAAUCAGCUGGUGCAGCAACAGCGCAGGAGUAAUUGGUGGAAUGAUGAUGGGAGCAGGAAAAGGAGAUUCCGUGCUCUGGAACAAGGUCAUGUGGCUGAUCAGGAGACUUCUGUUGCUGGCGCACAAAUUAUUCAGUACCAUCCUCCCAUUCCUGAAACCUCCAAUCAAGUAAUAAGAGUAAAUGGAGCUUUUUCUCCAACUACUGCGCAGCCAGUUUCAAGCCCUGAAACUGCCAUGCCCAUGGAUGUAGAAACAACUUCUAACAGUGUGGAUCCUCUGGCUUCAACUGGGGACCUUUUGCCUAACACCUCUGCUCUAUCUGGCUGGGAUGAUAUGUUUCUUGGUUGCGAAAUAGAAGACAUACUUCCAUCAGAGCAGGACUUUCAGAUGGGAGAACAACAGAACUCUCAAGUGGAGCCUCCGUUGACUGUUGAAGAUUACACUGAGUAUCCUGUUUUUCAUACUUCACAAUUAGAGCAGGAGCAGCAGCUGCAGGACUGUCAGAUGGAAGCACAACAGGGCCACAAAAAUCUUCAAUAUGGUAUCCACUAAUUGCCCUGACAUCAUAACCGAAGCAUGAGUGAUAGUCAAGGAGCCCAUCAUUCAGUGACAUUAGAUUUGUGAUGGACGGAGUCUUCGAACCCAGUGUGUUCCACCAGGUGGCUACCAUUGACAACCUGAAGACGUUUGAAGUGCUCAGGAUUCAGUAUACUAAGUAAUAAUACACUAAAAAAAGACAGUAACACAUGUUGACUAUAGAAUUUUUAUUUUCCUUGUCCGCGCGUUCAAGGUUAUAGGACAGGGAUUUUGUUUUUGCCCCAACUUUCUUUGUCCUAGCUACAUGUAUAACGCAAGGUAGCAUCCAUCAUCUGUUGUAUAUACUGUUGUAUUGGAUUUAUACAUGAAGAGCAAUUUUGUAUACGUUAUUUUAGUAUA